rnacentral:lncRNA from 1 species
AACAUUUUCGUACUUGAAUGGACCUGUUUGUUCGGAACACAUGUGGCCCUUGAAUCUGUUUCGUGAGACUUUGAACUCUUCAUUAGUAAGAUCAGCAAAUUCAUUGACGGCUAGCUUGUAAGGUUUCUUACUAGCCUUGUUGAAAGCUUCAAUAUGUGCAACGUUUUGUUUGAAAAUGGUGAACCGCUUCUCCUUCUCAACGUUGUCCCUGUACACGCGUCCGUAGCGAGCCGUCCAUUGCUCGUACCUCUCGUACAUAGCUGCAUCUUGCAGCGUACGAGACGACAUGGCUUGUGGAAUCCAAGCUCCUAAUAAGAUCAGGGCCAAACAAAGGCAUUGCUGCUGGCUUGUGAAUGCCAUUUCAAUUACUAGUAUUAGUUUAGCUGCUGUGAAUAGAGUAAUUGAUCAAGUGAAGAGAUACAUGGAAACAAGGAUCACUCCUGGGAUUUAUAGGCAAGUUCUUAGGCCCCAUUGAAGAUUGUGAUUAUUAGUAUCAAAUGAAAGCUUCGAUUAUCAGCGUGGCUGAGAGGAUAUUCUGAUUUUGACCCAUAAAAUUAACUGAGUUGAACCAACAAGACGUACAAACCGUUAUGCAAGCUCUUGCCGUACCGUUACAUUCUUUGUGUUGAAGGUUUGACAUAAGAAUUGGAUGCAAGUUUGAGCAAUAUAUAGAUGAUUGAGACGUUGAGUAGCUGAAGAAUAAAUUACAUAUUCACAAUUGCUGAAACGUACGUCUACAUUUAGGCCCGAAAAGACAGACAUCUUGAGAUUGGAUUAGUUUUUGCUUUUUGAAAACAUUUUCAACGGUAUUUAAAAAAUAAAAUAAAAUUGAAUCUGAUGCCGUUUUUGUUUUGCCAAACUCAGCCAGGGGCCCAGGGCCAACAAAUGAGCUGGGCCUGAAUCCAUCGGUAAGAAGUUAGCUUAGGUUCCGACAUAUAUUACAUUUUAUAUAUAGAUUAAUAUGAUCCAUAUAUUUCAAGUAACAGUAUGUUUAAUUUAUAAUUUUUUUUUUAUGCCUUUGUUUAUCACUUUAUUGCGCUUCAUUUGCACAUUUGCGGUCGUUCGAUUAAAUUAUUAGGGCAUGUGUAUAUAUAGAAUUUUGGAUCAAAGUGCUGAUGUUUAUAGAUAUCGUGUCAAGUGUGUAUUUAUAAGAACAUAUACUUUUCAUUUUUUUUAAGAACAUACAGUUAAUAUUCAAAUAUAUGUAUUUUCUUUUCUUCUUUUUUUAAUCAUAAAAGGGCUCUUAAGAGAGCUAAGGCAACACUAAGCGGGAGUGUGCAACCCCAUAAACAUCAUUAUUUAAUAUGCUAAGCAUAUUUGGAGGAAUAUAUUGAAAGCAUUGUAAACCCAAAGGAAACGAAAAGAUGUAUGAAGCAAGGAAAUCUGAUGCUGCAUUGCCUUCCCGAUAGAUAUGGUCCACUUUGAUCAGCCAAUCACGAUGGAGGAGAUCUUGGAUGGCCUAAUGAGAGUAAAAUAGAAAAGUUUGAUGGGAGAAUAAAAUUUUGGCUUGAAAUUUUCAAAGCCUAUGAAGUAAAAAAUAGAAAAGUUUAGAAGAAUGAGUUUUGGCCUGAAGUUUUCAAAACAUGUGAAGUAGAACUAGAAAAGUUUGAUGGGAUAAUAAAUUUUGGCUUGAGGUAGAUUGAAGUCAAGAUAUAUAUACUGAUCCAAUAUAUGUUUUAUAAGAAAAUCAAGGGUAAUGUAAAUCUCAAAACACCUAAAGCUGUAUAGACAAUCAAGACAAUUUAAAGAAGAUUGUUGGAAUAGAGCAGGUUCAGCAAGUAGCUCUAAAUUAGUUGAUACAAAUACUAAUAGUGUCAGCUAGCUAUAUGGCACUUUUCUCCAUGAGAGACUAGUCUAUUGUUUUUGGUGUGCUAUGGAAGAGGAUGUGUAACUAAUAGCGAGUCUACAAGGUUUACACUUAAGGCAUAGUUGGGCAUUUAUGCAAAAUGUAUGGAGGAAUUUUUAUGUUGAUGGUUGAGAACUCUUAAGGAAGCCAAACAUGAGAAUGGGUAUUUUCAGCAAUGUGAUCGACAUGUAUUGAAUAUAUGCACUCUGCGUACGAUGGAGGUAUGUAUGUAUGUAUGUAUGUAUGUAUGUAUGUAUGUAUGUAUGUAUGUAUGUAUGUAUGUAUGUAUGUAUGUAUGUAUGUAUGUAUGUAUGUAUGUAUGUAUGUAUGUAUGUAUGUAUGUAUGUAUGUAUGUAUGUAUGUAUGUAUGUAUGUAUGUAUGUAUGUAUGUAUGUAUGUAUGUAUGUAUGUAUGUAUGUAUGUAUGUAUGUAUGUAUGUAUGUAUGUAUGUAUGUAUGUAUGUAUGUAUGUAUGUAUGUAUGUAUGUAUGUAUGUAUGUAUGUAUGUAUGUAUGUAUGUAUGUAUGUAUGUAUGUAUGUAUGUAUGUAUGUAUGUAUGUAUGUAUGUAUGUAUGUAUGUAUGUAUGUAUUUAUGUACAUAUAUAUGUAUGAUAGUGUGUAAAUAUUUGAUGUAACUUUUAUUCAAUAUAUAGAUAUUAAACGGGUUAUUGGGUAACCCGAUUAUUUUUCCGUGUCGGGUUUGGGUCUCAAUAUUUUGACACGAUUAUUAAAUGGGUCGGGUUUGGGUAGGCCUAAAUUUGACACGACACGAAGCUGACACGACACGAACACGACCCGAUGACCCGUUUUGCCAGCUCUACGAUGGAGUAUGAUAAUUCUUUAUAUAAAGAAUUAUAGUUGCUGGAUAAAGUAUAAGAUUUCAUCCACAGUGGAGUGAUUCUUAUAAGCCCUAUGCAAGUGUGGUUUUGGUGAAGUAAAGAUGGUGGGGACAACAUGGUUAUAUGCAUAAAUGGUGGGUCAUAUUUUAUCAUGUUAUUAAAAAAACUCGCAAAGGUGAGGAUUGUUAGGAAAUAUGUCUCUUCAAUAAGGAUUUGUAAAUCCUAAAUUAUAAUAUUUCCUAGGUUUUUCUUAUUUAGUGGUUUUCUUAUUUAAAAGGAUUUUUAUCUAAGGAAUAACUAAUUUUUUUAGGACUUAACUUAUUCAAGGAAGAAUUCAAUAUAGAAAGAAAUAAUACUUGAACAAGAAAUAAUUACUAUAUAUAAAGAGGUUGGGUUCACUCGGUAAUCACUCAGUUUUCUCUACAAGUAAAUAAUUUCAAUGUGAGAGAAACAACAAGUGUACUGAGAGCCUUGGGUAUUAUUAGGGUUUUGUAAUAAAUUUUUUCACGUAAUAAAAUUUUCAGUCGUCAUCCUUGGCAACCACAACUUUAUUGGUAUUACUGCAAUGUGGUGGUGGAACAAACUCAUAUCUGUCGGACGAAAGGACAUGGAUCUAGCAAUGGCUUCGACUGAAGGGCAUUGUUGAGUUAUUUUACUAUUAUUACUUUAUUAUUAUUGUUAUCUUGGUUAUUAUUAUUUCAUUACUUUCAGCAUUGCAAAAUAGUAAAACAGCACAAAUAAAUGAUUUCUAAUUAGUUAAAAAAUUAAUAAAUUAAAAUUUGUGAUUUAGAGGAUAAUUUGUCCUUCAAAUUUUAUUAUAAAUAUAAAAUGUUGGGAAAAAAUUUAGUAAAAGUCAUUCUUUUCCUAGUAAUGUCAAUAUGAUGUCAUCAUUUUAGUAACAGGGUUAAUGAAAAUGCAGUAAAAUAUAUAUUUUUUUAAAAUAUAGUAAUGAAAAACUUUACAAAGGAGGACUUCUUGCACUGUUUUUUUUUUUCCCCGCAAUAUCUUAAAAUGGAUGUGGGUACAAUUCUAGGAUCAAUUUUGUUUUUCGUUAUUCUAUAUGACAAUUUGAAAUUGAGGCUAUCUAGUUCGAAAAAGCUUCUAUCUAUAUAUCAUUUUAGUUUAAUAUAAAUUAAGUUGUGCUUCUCAUCAACCAAUUAAAAGUUGGGUUUGAAGUUAUUGACCAAGCCAAAAAGCAACCUUACCCCUUUAUACCAUAUAUAUUAAACUAAAUCUUAAUAAUUCAAAAUUAAAAAGAUUCACUGACAUUUGGUAAAUCACCUAAAGCUGACAAAUUAAAUUACCAAAGUAAAUUACACCAGGUGUAUCGUUAUUUUCGUCAGCUUUCUUUAACUUUUUUUUUUUCAAUUAACAAAGUAAAUUGGACAAGGUGUAUUGUCAUUUUCUUGAGGUGAAUUCAAGAUUGUUCAAAUUGUAAAAUCAUUAAUUACUGACACUGGUAAAUGACCUAAAGCAAUAUGAUUAUAAUUUAAUUCGUGACAAUCAUAAGUAGCAAGAUCAUAUUUCUUUAGUCAUUCAUAAAUAAUUUGUUGGAUACUACACAAUGUAGUUACCCCAAAAAAUAUAAUUCCAAAAUCAGUUCUCUCGAAUAUCUAUUUAAAAUCUCCAAUCAACAAUACGCAAAUCUAUAUGACAUAUGCCAAUUCAUACUUGAGAAGCAAUACACUUAUCAAAUUUAAAAUGGAUUUGACCGAAAAAAUAAUCUGAGGUGGGUAAAACAUCUAUAUUUAUGAGUUUAUGACUGCUUGUUUGUACUAAUUAUGGUCCUAUAAUUAAUUAUGUAGAUCUAUAUAUAACUAAUCAAUGAAAGUAUAAUAUAAUAUUUAGUAAACAUGACAUAAUUUUAUUCGUUAAUCUUAUAAAAAAUUUAAAAGAAAGUUAAGGAAAAUAAAAAUACACCUGGUCCAAUUUACUUUGUUAAUUUGAAAAAGGGAAAAUGAUAAACGGACCGAGUGUACUGAUAUUUCAAACAGCCGAAUAGCCAAAUCGCCGAAACCCUAACGAUCUGCUCGACGUUGGUGCAAAUCUCCUUAUAAGUCGAAUGCUCCCUUUGCCUCAGCUGGAUGCCGGUCUGGCGGCGGUGUCUAACUGGCAACCUUUUCUUCCUUUGUUCUAUGGCUUACUACUCUCUUUGUUUCGGAGUUUCUAGUUGAUGUUUGCACUUAACAUUAAUUUAGCUGCAUUUAUAAAUCCAUCUUACCUUGUUUUAAGCUCCACGUUAAGAAGCUAUUUUAUUAUCUCUCUGAAGAAAUUUUCUCUCUCAUUUCUUAAUUUUCUUUUUUUUUUUUUCGCCGACACAUUUCAGCUGAUGAUGUUCCUGUGACGAGUUGAAAGUUGCAAAAUGAACCCGCACGAAAUUUAUUCCUUUACCAAGCUGUAAAAGGCAUGUGUUCGCACGGACUUAUACAGGGAUAUCAAUUAUUAUUAAUAAUACUUUUAUGCCAUGUGAUUUAUUGUAUGAGAUAUUUUAGAAUAUAUUUAUUUUAUUUCAUCACAUAUGACAUGCGGAUAUAAAUUAAAUAUAAUUAUCAAUUACAUAAUAAUUUUUUAAAAUAAAUACAAAUAUGUCACACAUAUACUAAGUCGGUGCAAUACAAUAAAAUUACUCUUGAAUAUCUCCAUUGCUCUGCUAAUUAGCGGUGAUUUUUGUGACAAAUAAUUUAGAUUUCUUUUAGGAUCUAGAAAUCUCACCUAUUGCUCUGUUUUUAUUCUGAUAGUGAGGCUUUUAUGGAGCGAUAAUUCUGAGGACCUGAUAAGAAUAUUGUAAGAGUACGUUUUUGAAAGACAUGGCUGUCGCCUCUUUUGGUGACAUGACGAGAAGUUGAGAACAUCUGGUUUCCUGAGUUAUAAUGAUUUGGAGAAAGCUCAAUAUAAGUGUUUGAUCAAAUGCAUUAUAUUACCCAAAAAGAAGAAAAAAAAUCACGCUGCUAUGUUUUAAUUAUGCUGCCCAAUAUUACAUUCCUAUUAUUGGCUAGAAGAGUUACAAGCUCCUGAACCUCUUGGCACUCUAUUUUUUUAAAAAAAAAAAAAACACAAAUACUGCCGAUGGUGUUAUAAUUGGUAUAAGUGAACAAAGAUGGUUCUAUGGCGAUUGCUGAUAGUAAUUGAGAACGAAAAUGUCAUCAUACAUAUUAUAAACAAUCACUUAAUUAUACAUAGUUUUACGAACUCAUGUCAGCAAUCAGCUAGACGAAUUUCUCCAGUUGUAAUAAUACAAAAGCAUACACAAUAUUUUUACACACUGAAGUGAAAUAGAAGGCAUAAUUAAUUAUUUGCCUCGAUAUUUUGAUAUUUAUGCAGUGGGGUAAGAGGCUUGCAUGGCAAUUCCACAGAGGCCUUCCUUGGCAUCAAUAUCCCUUUGCAUCCUUAUGUAUCCUUCCUCUCCCCAGCUUGUGCCCCAUGAAUUUUUCACCAGCCAAUACUUGGUCCCAUCAUCAGCAGCUCCAUAACCAACAGCAGUGACACCAUGGUCCAAUUCAGUGCCACAGUCUCCGGUAAACACGCCGCUGGAGUAGAACUGGAAAUCAGAGCCUCCGGCAUCAAUUGCAACCGAAACCGGUUGAUUAGCAACAGCCUUCAUCAGUGCUGUCUCACUGUUGGCCGGCACAUCCUCGUGUCCAUUAAUCUUGGCCGCAUGAUUUGCUUCCUCUUUAGCGUUGCAUUUUCCAUCAACUCCCUUGUAAGGAUAGUUUGUUUCAGUUGUUAUCCCCUUGUUCUUUUGAACGAAUUGGAAUGCAUUGUCCAUCAAACCACCGUUGCAUCCUUCAUCUUCACCCUUGACGUCACAAUCCACCAACUCUUGCUCCGACAGAGAGGCUAAUUUUCCAGUUGUUAGCUGAUUAAUUCCUUCGAUAGCUGCCACUGCCGAAAAUGCCCAGCAGCAUCCUAUAUACACACAUUUAUAUAUAUCAUUAUGCAAAGUGUUAUAUAAGUAUAUAAUAUGCUCGUCCUUGUUACUCGGACGCAGCUAAAGAAAACGAACUCCAAUAGACAAAAUGAAAAAACUGACCGCAUUGUCCUUGAUCCUUGACGGGUGUGACAGCGCCUUUCUUCCGCCAGUCCAUGGUGGAAGGCACCGCAGUAACAUUUUCGUACUUGAAUGGACCUGUUUGUUCGGAACACAUGUGGCCCUUGAAUCUGUUUCGUGAGACUUUGAACUCUUCAUUAGUAAGAUCAGCAAAUUCAUUGACGGCUAGCUUGUAAGGUUUCUUACUAGCCUUGUUGAAAGCUUCAAUAUGUGCAACGUUUCGUUUGAAAAUGGUGAACCGCUUCUCCUUCUCAACGUUGUCCCUGUACACGCGUCCGUAGCGAGCCGUCCAUUGCUCGUACCUCUCGUACAUAGCUGCAUCUUGCAGCGCACGAGACGACA